CUUUGGCGUAUAGGCAUUGUCUCGGGUUGCCGUUUAGACAUUUCGCAAUACACACAACAUACUCAUAUUGCCCGUGGUCGGAACGGUGCAACGGACGAGAGUAUACGAAAAAAUAUAAAAAUUGUUUAAUAGUUCAACUGAAAAGCAAAAACUAAAAUCUAAUUAAUACCAAAACAAUAAAGAAUUAUAAGCCAUUAACUGUAUGUGUGUAGGUGACAUCGAUCAAUCUAUAAGUGAAAUCUAAUAUUUAGGAAGAAUAUGGCGUGUCAUUGAGAGUCGACAUACGACGCGGUGUGGAGUAAUGUGCCAGCAGCAGGACACGCUUCGGUGCAGCUGUACCAAGUGCUUGAGGCGCUAGCCAGUCCGUGGUGCCGUGCGAUUUGAGGUUCAGCAUUUGACCUCCAUUUUACAAUAUUGAAUUGCUGGUUAGGCGACACAGCUGUGUGUGUGUUUGUGCGUAAUUUCAUUGUGACCAAGUCACCACAAUCCUUCUAAAUACUUUCAUACACCGUGGAUGUGUAUGUGUGUGGCCAUUAUUGACAUUAUUAGCCACAAAAAAAUUUAGUGCUCAAUCAAAAUUUAUGACAGACAAGACCAGGAAAAACGGUAAAUUUAACGUGCACGAAGCCUAAAAUAACCAACAGCUACGCCAACCAACUAACUGCCCGAAAGCGGAAAAAUCAAUAUUAGCAACAUUUUCCCGAACAGCACAUAGACAAUAUGCGCGUGAUUAAACGUGAAAAAAAGUAAAAAAAUCCAGUGAAAGUGUGUGUUAAAGUGCAGAAAAGCGCAGAAAAGCGCAAAAAUACAAGAAAUUAUAUAAUUUCAAAGAAAAUUUUUAGCGCAGCGUAGGCGCGGUUUUGACGGUACCACACUCUGUGCGCGUUCAUGUAUGUGUGCGUGCUGAUGUGUGUAUGUGUGUCUGGGUCAGCCAUAUGCUACAAUCGAUUUACAUGGCAGAGCAGCAAUAACACAAAUUCAUUGAGGCGCUCAUUUCACUAAAGCAACAACAAAUAAACAACAACAUCUAUGCAUACAUACACAAACUACAGUGGGUUCCACACAGCGACGACGCCUACGCGAACUGACAACGACGAGUAGUUGGGAGAAACUUCCAGUUAAAGUAAACUGAAAACAGUCAAAAGCAGCUAAGUGUAAAUAAAAAAAUACAAAAACCAAACAACAACAAAACAACAACCAAUUUAACUGCCAGCGCUUAACAGUCGCACACCGCCGCAACCGCCACCACAAUGGGUAAGAAGAAGGUGCCGAGUGAGGACCUCAUUGUGCCGCCACAGGAUCAGCGCAUUUGUGGCACAAUUUGCGUGUGCCAAAUGACACUCGUGCUGAGCUCGGUGGCGCUGGUCUAUCUAACGGUCGCCAUUUACAUGCCGUCGACGCGCGCCUUCAAGAGCGGCAUCGAUCCAACGCCCGUCAUGUGCACCACCACGCGCGCCGUCAACAAGGACAACUGUGAGUGGGGCUCGUGCGGUGAGUGGUGCUUGAGUAAGACAUCGGGCGCCUGCAUACAAAUCUAUGUAAAUUUGCGUACCAACGGCACGAAUCUCACCUUUCAGAAUUGUACGAAUUCGGCGAAUAAGACAUGCUAUGGCAUCGAUCAGGACCGCGCCGAUAAGGCGCGCUGCAUAAAUGAUGAGUGCAAAAAUUUGACGGGUACAUUUAAUUGCACCGAAGGUCAAUGCUUGAAUAUAACCGAUGCGUUCGAGUGUGUCUUCAAGAAUAGCGAUUCGCCGGUGAAGUGUUCGGGCAGACGGGGGAAAAUCAAUUGUAUGGACAUAAACGGUUUGUUUUCGUGUAAUCGCGGCACGUGCCGCAAAAUACGCACACCCUACAAUUGUGACCGACGUUGCGUUGACAUACCGACACGCAAUAAGAAUGUGGUGGUGUUGAGUGGUGAUAAAGUGUAUUUGUCGCAGUGUCAAAAUGCCAUCAAUGCAGAGACUAAAGAAGAAGUGUGGAAUGAAUCCGCGGAUAAUGUGGUGAUGGCAUCAUGCUACUUCAUAAAGAACACAUCGGAUCGCGUGGAGGCUUUGGAUUGCAUUAACGGCUCGACGUUGGAACACAAUAUGCUCACGGAUCUAACCAAUUUCACAUAUUUGAGUCAUCUGCACAUAUCGGUUUCGGUGCCGACGCCGGAAAUAGCACCGCCCGACUUUGAUUUGACCAUUUCAAAUGAGUCGAAGCUCAUGAUCAAUCUGGAGGGUUGUGUCAACACGCUGAUGGAUGAGUGCAAGGAGUUCUUGAAGGAUUUCGGCCGUGAUGGCAGCGAUCACAAUGCACGUGCGCGUUUCCCUUGCUUCUACUCGCCAUCGAAGAAGGAAAUAGUCGUGGCACGCUUCGACUUAGAGGUCACCUAUCGGCAGUUUGUCAUCGCCUCAGUUGUGCCGUCGGUGUUGUUUGUGGUGUCCUGUCUGGUCUUGCUGCUCUGCCAGAAGACCGUCUAUGUGGGUGAUGAUGCGAAAAUGCGUUUCAAGGGUUGUGUGGACACGGAUACGAUAUUGGCGAAAAAUAAUAUUGGCUCACAAACUAAUUUGGGCGAUACUGGUGGAGGCGGUGGUGACGACGUAAUGGCACUAUGAGAUCCGUCACCAUACUUUCAGCUACAUCAACGUGGAUUGAGACCUGAAAGUUCGAAUAUUUAUCCACAUUUUUGAACAUUUGUGCUGUUGUUUAUGUCUGUAAGCGUCGUUUAUGAUGCAUUCCUCUGCUCCAAGAAGACAGUCCCGUACAUCAGGCCGGCGUGUUUGCCAUGCAAUAAGGGCAGCAGACAGUCCAGCAGUAAUAACAACAAUAACAACAAAAGUUGUACAAAACCACACUCACUUCACCAACUCAAAUCAAAAAGAAACCAAGAAAAUUUUACAUCAAAAACAAAAUAUUUUAAUCAGCCCAAAAAUUAUAAAAAAAACAA